rnacentral:tRNA from 1 species
ACCUGGGUGGCUCAGUCGGUUGAGCAUCUGACUUCGACUCAGGUCAUGAUCUCACAGCUCGCGGAUUCGAGCCCUGCGUCGGGCU